rnacentral:rRNA from 1 species
GACGAACGCUGGCGGCGUGCUUAACACAUGCAAGUCGAACGGUAAGGCCCUUCGGGGUACACGAGUGGCGAACGGGUGAGUAACACGUGGGUGAUCUGCCCUGCACUUCGGGAUAAGCCUGGGAAACUGGGUCUAAUACCGGAUAGGACCACUGCCUGCAUGGGUGGUGGGGGAAAGCUUUUGCGGUGUGGGAUGGGCCCGCGGCCUAUCAGCUUGUUGGUGGGGUGAUGGCCUACCAAGGCGACGACGGGUAGCCGGCCUGAGAGGGUGACCGGCCACACUGGGACUGAGAUACGGCCCAGACUCCUACGGGAGGCAGCAGUGGGGAAUAUUGCACAAUGGGCGCAAGCCUGAUGCAGCGACGCUGCGUGAAGGAAGACGGCCCUCGGGUUGUAAACUUCUUUUGUUGAAGAAAAUUAUGAUGGUACUCAACGAAUAAAAACCUGCUAACUACGUGCCAGCCGCCGCGGUAA